UCAUUAUUAGCUCAGUUGGUUAGAACAUGGUGCUAAUAACAUCAAGGUCAUGGCUUCAAUCCCUAUAUGAGCCA